rnacentral:lncRNA from 1 species
ACGUAAUGAUUCAUCUUCAUUAUGUAUUCAUUACUUCAAGCUCAAAUUUGAAGAUUUGGAGAAUAAUAGAGCUCUGUGGUUCUCAGACUUCUCAAUUCCAUUCGGGAUGAACAUCUCUCUCUCUCCUUUGUGUUCCAUGUUCUACCCCGUGGUUCAUUUCAUCUGGCAGAGCAUUUUACAACCAGUCAGGUCUUUCACUUAAUAAUUGAUAAGCUGACCAACUGUACAGUGCCUUAGCAAAUCUGUGUCUAUCACUUCUGUUUAUGGGAAUUCCAAAUCUCUCAUCCUGCAUUCUCUGGUGCUUCCAGAAUGCAUUUGUUCUCUGUACGCAUUUGCCAAAGGGCCUUAGAAAACCUUGGAGUAAGAAGGCAACACAGAGGGAACCUUUCCUAGAUAGCAUCUCUGAGGCAGAUUAUUACAUAAUUUAUUCUCAAAAACACUACUGGAAACAUCAUUGUAUUAGAAGCUUUCACCACUGCCUUAAGAAGCCCAAUUUAGCAUUUGACUGCUUAGUCACAAAGGGUUUCUUUCUAAUUCAAACCACUCCUGCUACAGAAGAAGUCCACUGUUUUUACUGUAAAGAGGAGGAAAGCUGCCCACCCAUACUUCACAAUAAUUUUCUACCAGAGACUUAAAUAGGAUGAUUUUCUCCUUCACAAGUGAACUGAAAUGCGUUAUCCAAAAUUGACUACAGAUUUCAAAGUCAAAUAGUAAUAACAAAACAGAGUCAAAUAUAGCUUAGAGAAUUUUAAUCACGGAAUCUUGUAAAAAUUUAUACUCUAUGACUUGUCUCCUUUCAUCUAGUCUGGAUAAAUAUGAUUUUUUUUCAGACAUGCACUUGGAACUCCAGAAACUGUUCACAAGGAUCAAAUCUGGUUUUACUAAGGACUGCCAGUGAGGUUCCAGGUUCACCCGGUCUGAAGUUCCAAGUCUCUCACUUCUGUUGAGUAAUAUUUCAUUGCACAGAUUCCCUAAAAUCUAAAAGACUCCUGGAGAAGGAAUAACUGGAUAGUCUGUAUACUGUUGUCUUAAUUGGAAAUAGUUGAUUAGAUGGGACAGGAAGAGGUGACCCUGGAUUUUCAUGUUUUCUUCAUAAUGUGCAAUGAUUGUAUAUUGCUUUUCAGGUAAAAACAAAAUAUAGUUUUAAAAAUAGUUCACCUUGGCUUUAGUCUGACUCUCUGUGGUACAAUU